rnacentral:rRNA from 1 species
GACGAACGCUGGCGGCGUGCUUAACACAUGCAAGUCGAACGGAAAGGCCCUGCUUUUGUGGGGUGCUCGAGUGGCGAACGGGUGAGUAACACGUGAGUAACCUGCCCUUGACUUUGGGAUAACUUCAGGAAACUGGGGCUAAUACCGGAUAGGAGCUCCUGCUGCAUGGUGGGGGUUGGAAAGUUUCGGCGGUUGGGGAUGGACUCGCGGCUUAUCAGCUUGUUGGUGGGGUAGUGGCUUACCAAGGCUUUGACGGGUAGCCGGCCUGAGAGGGUGACCGGCCACAUUGGUACUGAGAUACGGCCCAGCCUCGUACGGGAGGCAGUAGUGGGGAAUAUUGCACAAUGGGCGGAAGCCUGAUGCAGCAACGCCGCGUGCGGGAUGACGGCCUUCGGGUUGUAAACCGCUUUCGCCUGUGACGAAGCGUGAGUGACGGUAAUGGGUAAAGAAGCACCGGCUAACUACGUG